rnacentral:tRNA from 1 species
GUGGGUGCAGCUCAGUGGUAGAGUGUGUGCUUAGCACGCACGAAGUCCUGGGUUCAAUCCCCAGUACCUCUG